CACGGUUAGGCAAACUUGUGGUGCCAUUUGUAGCUCAGGUUUUUAUGUUGGGUUAAACGGAGGCUGCUGCUGCUAAGUCACUUCAGUCGUGUCCGACUCUGUGUGACCCCAUAGAUGGCAACCCACCAGGCUCCCCUGUCCCUGGGAUUCUCCAGGCAAGAACGCAGGAGUGGGUUGCCAUUUCCUUCUCCAAUGCAUGAAAGUGAAAAGUGAAAGGGAAGUCGCUCAGUCGUGUCUGACUCUUCGCGACCCCAUGGACUGCAGCCCACCAGGCUCCUCCGUCCAUGGGAUUCUCCAGGCAAGAGUUCUGGAGUGGGGUGCCAUUGCCUUCUCCCUAAACGGAGGCUGGUUUUUUAGCAGAAACUGCAUCUUUCCUAAGCUUCUUCAUCCCCUCUCUUGUCUUUCUCACACCAGCGAUACUGUCUCAAACUCAAGCUCUGCUGUUCGGGAACCUGACCUUACGCCUAAAACGGGGGGUGGUAAGUGCUUUUAAGGGUGUGUGUAGGGUGUGUAGGUGAGGUCUGAGUGGCCCAGUGGGUAAAGAAUACCCCUGCAAUGCAGAAAACACAGGAGACAUGGGUUAGAUUCCUGGAUUGAGAAGAUCCCCUGGAGGGGGGCAUGGCAAUCCACUCUAGUAUUCUUGGCAGGAAAAUUCCAUGGACAGAGGAGCCUGGCGGGCUGUAGUCCAUAAGGCUGCAAAGGCCACUGAGCACACACACACAUGUAGGUGAGAAAGGUUAUGAUGUAAAAUAGGGUUUUAAAGGUUUGAGCGCUUCUGCUCCAGAAUCUUGUAAAUGUUCAUGCGCAAGGAGAUAGGGACAAGAGUGUCUGUUGUGAAAACUCGAGUGUAAUCUGCUACCAGUAAGAGGACAGAUAAACCAUGUGUGAAAAUAGCAAACCCCUUGCUCAUGUUCACCUUAGUCCACAAAGGACUAAAGGUUGAGGAAACUUGGGAAGUUUCAGCCUUUACAAGGUGGGUGGGGGCACUGGGUGAUUCUGAUAUUUUUUAUGCUUCUCUUUUCUACACUUCUCUCUUUAUUUGAAAUAUUUAAUGAGCGAGAUAAAAGCCCUGAUCCUCACUUACUUGCCCACUCACCUUCUCUUACACACCCCCAUGGAUAAAUGAGGAAGCAAUGUGUUUCCCACUCUUUGAUAAAUUAUGUAAGUUAAGUUUCUCUUGUUCUUUAUUCUAAGGAUACACAGGAGAACUAGGUUAUACGGAGGCUCAAUAAACUCCUGGUCUUUACAAUCAGCUGGUACUCCCAAUUGCCAUGGGGCUGGGGUUAUUGUUUAAUUGUGGUUCUUGUUUACUCAAGUCUUUCAUGAAGUAAGAAAAAUAUGUAGGAAGGAGGGAAGGAGAAUUGGAAGGAGAAAGUCAAGUGAGAAGGCAAAAGAAACUGUGAAUCUCAUAGUUUCAGUGUAAACGCUGUGGUUUAACAUUGGGAUGGUUUGUUUCCUUGCAGUUCCUAAGGGUGAAUCGGAACCACUUGGGAGAAAGCCCCUGUGAUCAACUAUAUUUUUGACCGCAGCUAUCCUUUAACAUCCAGACAAAAUCAGCCCGAAAUCCCCUUCUACAACCAGAGAGAAAUAUAAGCUCCCCUCAAGAUUUCUUCAGCUUCUCAGAAGUGUGCCUUUCCCUGCUGCUGCUGCUGCUAAGUCGCUUCAGUCAUGUCCAACUCUGUGAGACUCCAUAGACGGCAGCCCACCUGGCUCCUCUGUCCCUGGGAUUCUCCAGGCAAGAAUACUGGAGUGGGUUGCCAUUUCCUUCUCCAAUGCAUGGAAGUGAAAAGUGAAAGUGAAGUCGCUCAGUCGUGUUCGACUCUUAGCGACCCCAUAGACUGUGGCCCACCAGGGUCCUCCGUCCAUAGGAUUUUCCAGGAUUUCCUUUUUAAUUUCUCCAGCCCAUACCCAACAGAUCAUCUUUGGAAAGUCACUUUACAACUGGCUGGGA
ensembl:lncRNA